CGUCUUCGUCACUGUGUGUUUGCAAUUUUGAAAAAAAGAUUCUAAGUUAAGAAACUGUUAUGAGAAGGCAGAGGCCAUCACCGGCAGCCACAGCCUCGCCGUCGCUUGAGGUUUACAAUAUCAUUCCGAUUCAUGAUUUCUUAACGGAGCAUCCGUCGCUAAGGUAUCCGGAGGUUAGAGCGGCGGCGGCGGCGUUAAGAGUCGUCGGAGAUCUUCCGAAACCUCCGUUUGCUGAUUUCACACCUCGCAUGGACUUGAUGGAUUGGCUUGGUCUUCUAUUUGGGUUUCAAAUCGAUAACGUUCGGAAUCAGCGAGAGAAUCUCGUACUCCACUUAGCUAACUCUCAAAUGCGGCUUCAACCGCCGCCGCGUCACCCCGACGGUCUCGAUCCGACGGUUCUCCACCGGUUUCGGAAGAAGCUUCUCCGUAACUACACGAAUUGGUGUUCUUUCCUCGGAGUGAGGUGCCACGUCACCAGCCCUACCCAGAGCCGUCAUCAGACGAACGUUGUUUUGAAUCUCCGCCGUGAGCUUCUCUAUGUUGCUCUGUUUCUACUGAUCUGGGGAGAAUCUGCGAAUCUCCGGUUCAUGCCUGAGUGUUUGUGUUACAUUUUUCAUCACAUGGCUAUGGAACUCAAUAAAGUCCUCGACGGUGAGUUUGAUGAUAUGACUGGAAUGCCUUAUUGGCCUUCUUUCUCCGGUGAUUGUGCUUACCUGAAGAGUGUGGUCAUGCCUAUUUACAAGACGGUGAAGACGGAGGUUGAGAGUAGUAACAAUGGGACGAAGCCACAUUCUGGUUGGAGGAACUAUGACGACAUUAAUGAGUAUUUCUGGAGCAAGAGAGCUUUGAAGAGCCUUAAAUGGCCUCUUGACUAUACCAGUAAUUUCUUUGAUACUACACCUAAAAGCAGUAGAGUUGGGAAGACUGGUUUUGUGGAGCAAAGAUCAUUUUGGAAUGUCUAUCGAAGCUUUGAUCGGUUAUGGAUUUUGUUGUUGCUUUACUUGCAGGCAGCUAUUAUUGUGGCUACCAGUGAUGUGAAAUAUCCUUGGCAUGACCGUGAUGUAGAGGUUGCAUUGUUGACUGUUUUCAUCACCUGGGCGGGCUUGAGGGUGUUCCAAUCUGUGCUCGAUGCUAGUACUCAGUAUAGUCUGGUGAGCAAAGAAACUGUCUGGCUUUUCAUCAGAUUGAUUUUGAAGUUCGUGGUGGCUGUGGCAUGGACAGUUUUGUUUUCGGUCUUCUACGCAAGAAUUUGGAGCCAGAAAAAUAAGGAUGAUGAAUGGUCUCCAGCUGCAAACGAGAGGAUUAUCACGUUUCUCAAGAUAGUUUUCGUGUAUGUUUCGCCUGAGUUAUUGGCUCUUGUACUCUUUAUUGUUCCUUGUAUAAGAAACUGGGUCGAGGAGCUGAAUCUUGGAGUUGUGUACUUUCUGACAUGGUGGUUCUAUAGCAAGACCUUUGUUGGUCGAGGGAUGAGGGAAGGCCUGGUGGACAAUUUUAAGUAUACAGUCUUUUGGAUUAUUGUACUGGCCAGUAAAUUCAUAUUCAGUUACUUCCUACAAAUCAGGCCUCUAAUUCCUCCGACCAAGACACUACUGAACCUGAAGAAUGCACCAUACAAAUGGCAUGAGUUUUUUGGCAGCACUCACAGGAUAGCAAUAGGGAUGCUUUGGCUUCCUGUUAUUUUGGUUUACAUGAUGGAUUUGCAAAUUUGGUACUCGAUCUACUCAUCCCUUGUAGGUGCAACAAUUGGUCUGUUUUCUCACUUGGGAGAGAUUCGAAACAUUGAUCAGUUGAGACUUAGAUUUCAGUUUUUCUCAAGUGCUAUGCAGUUUAACCUUAAACCUGAAGAGCACCUUCUGAGCCCUAAAGCAACAAUGCUUAAGAAGGUUCGUGAUGCUAUUCACCGACUGAAAUUGCGAUAUGGAAUUGGUCAGCCUUUCAACAAGAUCGAAUCCAGUCAAGUUGAAGCAACUUGGUUUGCCCUUAUUUGGAAUGAGAUAAUCCUCACGUUUAGGGAGGAAGACCUUAUCAAUGACAGGGAGGUUGAGCUACUAGAGUUACCGCCUAAUUGUUGGAAUAUUCGGGUUAUCCGUUGGCCGUGUUUCCUCAUUUGCAAUGAGCUCUUACUUGCGCUAAGUCAGGCAAAUGAGCUCUGUGACGCUCCUGAUCGCUGGCUUUGGUCGAAAAUCUGUAGCAGUGAGUACAGGCGUUGUGCUGUUAUAGAAGCUUUUGAUAGCAUCAAAUUUGUGGUUCUUAGAAUUGUUAAAAAUGGCACAGAGGAAGAAUCCAUACUGAAUAGGUUGUUUAUGGAGAUUGAUGAUAAUAUGGAAAACGGAAAGAUUACUGAUGUAUAUAAGCUGACAGUACUACUCCGUAUUCAUGAAAAACUGAUAUCACUUCUUGAGCGUCUGAUGGACCCUGAAAAGAAAGUAUUCAGGAUCGUGAAUAUACUGCAAGCUCUGUAUGAACUCUGUGCAUGGGAAUUUCCAAGAAUUAGGAGGAGCACUGUGCAGUUAAGACAGCUUGGCUUGGCGCCCGUUAGUUUGGAUGCAGACACUGAAUUGCUGUUUGUCAAUGCCAUUAAUCUACCUCCUCUUGAUGAUGUCGUCUUUUAUAGGCAGAUUCGGCGGGUCCAUACAAUUCUUACUUCUAGAGAUCCAAUGCAUAAUGUGCCAAAGAAUCUUGAGGCCAGAGAGCGUCUUGCUUUCUUUAGCAACUCUCUCUUUAUGAACAUGCCCCAGGCUCCCAGUGUAGAAAAGAUGAUGGCUUUCAGUGUGUUGACUCCUUACUAUGACGAAGAAGUGAUGUAUCGACAAGAAAUGCUCCGAGCUGAGAAUGAAGAUGGAAUAUCUACCCUAUUCUAUCUUCAAAGAAUUUAUGAAGAUGAAUGGGUGAAUUUUGUGGAACGGAUGCGUAGAGAGGGAGCAGAGAAUGAAAAUGAUAUUUGGUCAAAGAAGGUUAGAGAUCUUCGCCUAUGGGCUUCAUAUAGGGGUCAGACACUGUCUAGAACAGUGCGAGGGAUGAUGUAUUAUUAUAGUGCCUUAAAGAAGCUUGCCUUUCUUGAUUCUGCUUCUGAAAUGGACAUCCGGAUGGGAACUCAGAUUGCUCCUGAGCCACGCCGUUCUUACUACACAAGUGAUGGUGGGGAUAACACUCUGCAACCAACACCUUCUCAGGAAAUUAGCAGAAUGGCUAGUGGUAUUACCCAUUUACUUAAAGGGUCUGAGUAUGGGAGUGCAAUGAUGAAAUUCACAUAUGUUGUGGCAUGCCAAGUUUAUGGACAGCAUAAAGCAAGGGGGGACCAUAGAGCUGAGGAGAUUCUGUUCCUGAUGAAAAAUCAUGAGGCUCUCCGCAUUGCAUAUGUUGAUGAGGUUGACUUGGGAAGGGAGGUCGAGUACUACUCGGUUCUUGUGAAAUUUGAUCGACAGCUUCAAAGAGAGGUGGAGAUCUAUCGUAUCAGACUGCCAGGCCCCUUGAAGCUUGGUGAGGGAAAACCAGAAAACCAAAACCAUGCUCUAAUCUUUACACGAGGUGAUGCGAUACAGACCAUUGAUAUGAAUCAAGAUAACCAUUUUGAGGAGGCUCUUAAGAUGAGGAACUUGUUGGAAUCAUUCAAGACUUACUAUGGCAUAAGGAAGCCUACUAUUCUUGGAGUCCGUGAGAAAGUUUUCACGGGUUCGGUAUCUUCACUCGCAUGGUUCAUGUCUUCUCAGGAAACAAGUUUUGUAACCUUAGGACAGCGUGUUCUUGCUAACCCACUGAAAGUGAGGAUGCAUUACGGUCAUCCGGAUGUAUUUGAUCGGUUUUGGUUUGUGCCCCGGGGUGGAAUUAGCAAGGCCUCAAGAGUUAUUAAUAUAAGUGAGGAUAUAUUUGCUGGAUUCAAUUGUACUUUAAGAGGCGGGAAUGUGACACACCAUGAAUACAUUCAAGUAGGCAAAGGAAGGGAUGUGGGUUUGAAUCAGAUUUCUAUGUUUGAAGCCAAGGUAGCAAGUGGUAACGGUGAGCAAGCAUUGAGCAGAGACGUAUACAGGUUAGGUCACAGGCUGGACUUUUUUAGAAUGCUCUCUUUCUUCUACACAACGGUUGGCUACUACUUCAACACAAUGUUGGUAGUAUUUACUGUGUAUGCAUUCUUGUGGGGUAGGCUUUAUCUAGCACUUAGUGGUGUUGAAAGAAUAGCAAAGGAUAGGAGUAACAGCAAUGAAGCGUUUGCUACAAUUUUGAAUCAACAAUUUGUUAUUCAGCUAGGACUUUUCACUGCGCUGCCAAUGAUUCUUGAAAAUUCAUUGGAGCGUGGGUUUCUUCCAGCGAUUUGGGACUUCAUAACAAUGCAGCUGCAACUUGCAUCGUUUUUCUACACGUUUUCCAUGGGAACUCGAACCCAUUACUUUGGCCGGACAAUACUCCAUGGUGGAGCCAAGUAUCGUGCCACUGGAAGAGGGUUCGUGGUGGAGCAUAAGAAAUUCGCUGAGAACUACAGAUUGUAUGCUCGAACUCAUUUCAUCAAGGCUAUUGAGCUCGCGACUAUUCUGUUGGUAUAUGCGGCUUAUAGCCCGUUGGCUAAGAGUUCGAUUGUUUACAUAUUGAUGACGAUUUCGAGCUGGUUCCUUGUUACAUCUUGGAUUAUUUCUCCAUUUCUGUUUAACCCAUCUGGUUUUGAUUGGCUCAAAACAGUGAAUGAUUUUGACGAUUUCAUUGCGUGGCUAUGGUCUAGAGGCGGGUUGUUUACGAAAGCAGAUCAGAGUUGGUUUACGUGGUGGAAUGAGGAACAAGAGCAUCUGAAAACAACUGGAGUGUGGGGAAAACUGCUUGAGAUUAUACUUGAUCUUCGGUUCUUCUUUUUCCAGUACAGUAUCGUGUACCAUCUUCGCAUCGCAGAGAAGCGGACCAGUAUUGGUGUAUACUUGGUUUCUUGGGCAUGCAUCAUCGGGAUUGCUGCGAUAUACAUCACAACAAUCUAUGCUCAGAAAAGAUAUUCUGUCAAGGAGCAUAUUAAAUACCGAUUCAUUCAGUUCAUAGUAAUUGUCCUCACGGUUCUUGUGGUCGUGCUGAUGCUGCAGUUCACUAAACUUACAGUUGUUGAUUUGUUGAUUAGUCUAUUAGCUUUUGUUCCCACAGGCUGGGGAUUGAUUUCCAUAGCUCAAGUACUGAAACCGUUUCUGUUAUCAACAGUGGUAUGGGACGCAAUAAUCUCUGUUGGUCGCCUUUACGACCUCUUAUUUGGGUUGAUAGUUAUGGCUCCAGUUGCAUUGCUAUCAUGGUUGCCUGGUUUUCAGAAUAUGCAAACACGGAUUUUGUUCAAUGAAGCGUUUAGCAGAGGGUUACAGAUUUCUAUCAUCCUUGCUGGCAAAAAAUCCAAUUGAAGCAAAUAUUGCUUCUGAGGAAUUGUUGGAGCUUACAAAAAGUUCAUUGCUAGCGGCUCUGGAAGGUCAUUUCAUACAAAAUUGUAAGGACCUAUACCAGUUGUAAAGAAUGUAUGUAUUCCCCCUGCUGUGGAGAGCAGUUUAUCACUAGAACUUGAGGAUGUCAUGCCCUUGUUACAAUUUUUGGCUUCGGUAGAAACUUGCGAGGAUCGUAUCGCUGGUGCUCUGGAAACACUUAGACCAAUAAAUUCCUGGGAGAGAUGAGCUGGAGCAGCUCAAGGAAUGGAUAGUGUGUUGAUGGGUGGUAGAGGCUUUGGUACAGCUAUGGAAGCUCUCUUCAACUAUCUAUGAUCUGAAUUUGGGAAUUCAUUUGCAUUAGCUAGGGUGUUUGCUUUCCUAUCUGGUCCUCCUGAUUAUGGACGUUGUCAGCGGGAUCCAAGUAGAUAUGGUGAACAGUAUGCAAGUAAAAGGAUCGAUGCUGAUCGUGAUUUGCUUCCUAAGCAAACACCAUUCUUCAAAGACCUAGCUACCAUUGUUGUCCAAUCAGGUGUAUGCGUAGCAAGAAAGGAGCAUCAAACCAAAACUGAUGUUUUUACGAGGAAAAGACGAUGCUACUGCCUUUGAGAACUAUCUUAUAGAAGAGCGAGAUGUGGAUGGUAGCGGUUUUGCUAGCACCAUGGGUUCUGUGUCUUUCCUCGAUGAUAUUUCGCAGCGCGUCACUGAAUAUACAUGAAGUGAAAGCUAAAUGACCCUUUAGGUUCUUUUAUACAGUACAUCCAAACUCGAAAAACAUAUCCCAUUUAGAGUUUUUAUCUCUUGUUGUAACAUUUGUGUAGACUAUCUCCCAGUUUUUUUGUCUCUCCGAAUCAUAAUAUGAAUAAUUAAGCAAAAAAUGGUUCUUCGUUA